UGGGGAAUUUUGGACAAUGGGGGGAAACCCUGAUCCAGCCAUCCCGCGUGUGCGAUGAAGGCCUUCGGGUUGUAAAGCACUUUUUGGCAGGAAAGAAACGUCGCGGGUUAAUACCCCGCGAAACUGACGGUACCUGCAGAAUAAGCACCGGCUAACUACGUGCCAGCAGCCGCGGUAAUACGUAGGGUGCAAGCGUUAAUCGGAAUUACUGGGCGUAAAGCGUGCGCAGGCGGUUCGGAAAGAAAGAUGUGAAAUCCCAGAGCUUAACUUUGGAACUGCAUUUUUAACUACCGGGCUAGAGUGUGUCAGAGGAGGUGGAAUUCCGCGUGUAGCAGUGAAAUGCGUAGAUAUGCGGAGGAACACCGAUGGCGAAGGCAGCCUCCUGGGAUAACACUGACGC
rnacentral:rRNA from 1 species